AGCAGCCGCGGUAAUUCCAGCUCCAAUAGCGUAUAUUAAAGUUGUUGCAGUUAAAAGCUCGUAGUUGAAUUUCGGGAUUGGCGCAUCGGUCGUGCCUCACGGGGUAUGAACUGGUGCAGUCAAUUUCUCACCUUCUGGAGAACCGCGAUGUCCUUAAUUGGAUGCCGCGGGGAACCAGGACCUUUACUUUGAAAAAAUUAGAGUGUUUAAAGCAGGCAUUUUUGCUUGAAUACAUUAGCAUGGAAUAAUAAAAUAGGACGGCAUGGUUCUAUUUUGUUGGUUUCUAGGACCACCGUAAUGAUUAAUAGGGAUAGUUGGGGGCAUUAGUAUUCAAUUGUCAGAGGUGAAAUUCUUGGAUUUAUUGAAGACUAACUACUGCGAAAGCAUUUGCCAAGGAUGUUUUCAUUAAUCAAGAACGAAAGUUAGGGGAUCGAAGACGAUCAGAUACCGUCGUAGUCUUAACCAUAAACUAUGCCGACUAGGAAUCAGACGAUGUUAAUUUUUUAAUGACUCG
rnacentral:rRNA from 1 species